rnacentral:misc_RNA from 1 species
CCGAGUUUACAACUCCCAAACCCAGUGUGAACGUUACCAAACUGUUGCCUCGGCGGGAUCUCUGCCCCGGGUGCGUCGCAGCCCCGGACCAAGGCGCCCGCCGGAGGACCAACCAAAACUCUUAUUGUAUACCCCCUCGCGGGUUUUUUUUAUAAUCUGAGCCUUCUCGGCGCCUCUCGUAGGCGUUUCGAAAAUGAAUCA